GAGAUCGGGGACACCCAGCCGAGCUAUCGGGUACUACACCUGGGAGUGCGCAGCCUGGGCGGACACGCUGCAGCCUCAGCCCAGGAAAACUGCGAUUACACGGAGCAGGGAGGAGGCCAUCUAGCGGCAGCUGGCGGCAUUGCAGCAGGACAGGACGCGGCGACGGGCUCCGGCAGUGGCAGCAGAGUUCCCGGGGACGGGAGAGACGGCUCAGCAGCUGCCUCAUCACCAAGCCCCCGCUGCUCCGUCCUCCCACUCCUCAGCGUUACACCCUGCUGUAUACUGAGCGCAGACAGGAUAAGGAUUACUCUGUCACGUUUUGCACACAGAUCUGGUGGAGUCGGCAGAGAAGAGUAUACUGAACACAGAACAAAGGAAAGAAAUGCCAGUAGAGAAUCCCCCUCAUUCACGGAAAUACGAGAUGAGAGCUCUGUAACCAUGGCAACUAGAAGAAUGGCUGCUCAGACCUUUGUGUUUCCAUGGAAACAAAUAAUGCAAAUUCAGCCUUCCAUCAGCAUCUACUUGCUCUGUAUACCAGAUACAUAGUGCGUGCUACCAGCCCUUCUUACCAUGUUUAGCAUUUAGUUUAACCUGGUUCCAGAACACUAAAUUCAGUUAAAUGCACCUCUCAGAAAAGGGUGGGGUGUACAAAUUACACAUGAGUUAAGGAAUGUGAAUUACCUAUUGUGUAUACAUGUGUUAUUAAUACAAUAAACUUGCUCAUGUCAAA